UGACAAUUGCCCAAAAAUAAAAGACGUCGCUUGUUAACGCCGUCGAUGGCUUCUUCUUCUUCAUCGCCCACAGAGAAGAUGGAAGCUGCGUUUGUCUUGAGUCUCCGAUUCUAUGCUUUCAAAUCGAAUUUCGAUUUCUUCUCCAAGCCAAAUCAAGCCAUGGACCGAGGAAAAAGAUACUUCUUGCGUUGUGGAUAGAUUUGUUUUGUUGCUUAUGCAAUUCUCUUUAUCAUUGUCCUUUUUUCUUUCUCAAUUGUAUUUCAAGAGACAAAAGUAGGCGAGAUUUUUGAUAUUAAGACAGUUGUUGUUUUUUUUUUUUUUUGAAAAACUAUUAAGACAGUUGUUGUAACACAAAGAAAAGCAUUGAUAUUGAAUGAUUGAAAAGGAAUCUUGGAAUGUAAAAAAAAAGUGUUUUGAGCUUCGGAUCCUGCUUCUCUUUGUUGAACCUUGGAUAAGCAAAGGGGACAAGAAGGCUUACAAACAAACCUGUUCUCCUUAGUAAUAAGGCAUCAUGGGUAGUGACUGAAGCUGGACACAUAGAUCAUGGCGGACCAAGCUUGGCUAUUAGCUUUCGAUUCUGGUCUAUAAUGAAAAUAAAGCAACAAUUAACACCAGCCACUUAGCUCAGUGGUAUAGCACGUUACUUUUAAUCCCGUGUCCACGUUCUAUAGCUUGUCCAUGACGUUACCACAAUGGCAAGCGUCAAUGAUUGCAUGGAGCUUGACUCAUUAGGCAAUAGGAAGAUGAGAAACCACGAGAUACCAAGAAACUGCUGGCAUCGUCUUUUAAAAACACAAGUCAUAAAAAGCUCGUUAUAUUUGUUUCUUAUAACACUGCAAUAUAUGAAUAACCAUAAUUUUGCAGAGUCGCAGCAUCGAUCAGCUAUUUAAAUCAUUUUAAAAUAACAAAGAAAAGACAGCUAACUUGGCUUCAUAUCUCGCAUCUACUUUCACCAGAAGACUGUUGUGCUUGUGCUUGACCACUGUCAGCAAAAUCCUUGAAGCCAUCAAGGUAUUAAAAAGUUCACUCACUUUAGAGUUGUUGAAGCGUAGUAGUGAAAAGCUACAUCAAAACAUAUAUCCUCAUAGAGACACUUGACUAUAUUUGUAACGUGUUUGUUUUGUUUCAGGGCUUGCAAACUUCUUAAGUCUUGUGCACAUUGUGUGUGCUUUUCUAAACUUAGAGCACCUCUCCAAUGGGGGUUCUUCCCAUUGGAGCUUUAAAAUAUGUAUUAUAUAUAUAUGUAUAUAUUAUAUAGAUAUAAGUAUUUGUGGGAUCCAUAAUUUUUGUGGAAUCCCAUAGGCAAAAGUUCUAAAAAUCCUAUUUUAAGAGCAGGUUUAUUGGUGUCUCUUAAAGAAGGGUUGUUAAGCAUAAUUACAAUCAAUAUACAAUACUAAAAGGGGAAUAAGGGCUCCCCUCAUGCUUCCACGUCGGAUCAUAAAAUCGGCCAAUAAGAAUGCAUCAAACUUCCACGUCAUUAAUGAGUUAAUUAGUUUUGUUUGGGCCUCCGUUGUUUUCGGUCCGUCUAUUCUGAAGUCUAAAGCCCAGAUUGAGCAACCGAAGGGCAGAUGUGUUACGCGAUGAAUGUCGACUUCCAUCUCUUCCAUUUCUCUCUUAUCCAGAUCCGUUUCGAUGAGUAAUUUUGCUACUAAUUCCUCUCAUCAAACCUGAGAUUGAACUCAUUCAAUGGAUUCCUUUCAUCUUCUUCUAAAAUUUUCUAUAUAUAGAACUCUUUUCAUAGCUUAUGUCUCCAUCAAAGUUCAUAAGAUUCUCUCAUUUACUCAUCACGAUGGACCCACCGGCAACUCUACCGUCUCCGGCGAACGCAAGCCCAUCAAGAAGACCGUCGCAACCUCCGCGACUGCGAAACCAAACGGGAAGUCCACUGCUUCUUCCGUGACUGUGAUGAAACCUAACGAGACGACUGCUGUUUCAUCCGCCAAUUCGAUGAACCCAAACGCUGUUACCGCUCAAUCUUCCGCGCAUGGCGAUCAAUUCGGUUUUUGUUUGUUGAUUGAUUUGAUUUUGAUUGGUUUUGAUUCUUUACACAGGUGGGAGCUGUGAAGCCGGAAGAUUCGAGUGCCUCAGGUGUGACUCAAAAGCCAUCUCCUCCGGUGGGAUCUCCAGCUCAAGGCUCUGUUGUUGUGGCACAAACCUCACCCGGUGCUUCAUCUGUUAGAUCUGUUCCUUCGACAAUCGUUAAAAAGAAACCAGAUGUUGUUCCAGCAAGGCAAACCACCAGUAUUUCAUUACGAGAUGAUUCUGAUGAUGAUGAUCUUGAUGGAGACAUGGAAACAGCUGAUAAUGGAGAUCCUACUGACGUUAAGCGUGCUAGGAGACAAACAUCACGUUCACGCGUUCAACUAAGAAACGAGUCAUCUCCAUCAUGGCAUCCUUGAAGAGUAGUUCACCAUUGAAGAGAAACACAUGGGUACGACGACCUUUUCGCAUUAGUGGAUUUACUAACAGAAAUGUUCAAAAAAUAUCACCAACCCCAAAAGCAGUUCGUGUUAUUGAACUUUGGCCCAUCAUAAGUGAAGCCAACGACUUGCACGGUACCGGUUUCCUAUGCUUUAGCUUGGAGGGUGAAACUCUAGAAGGGCAGCUAUCCAGACAGUUAUCAACUACAAAUCCUAACCUCUUAUCAGCAGUGGAUAUAUAUCAGCUCUCAGAUUAUAUGGUCAUCCCGAAUAAUCGCAGACACAAGCUGACUCCGCAGCCGUUCUUUAUUCGUAUCAACCGUGAAGCGAGUGUGAUAAAAUUAGAACACACGAUCUCAGGCUUUCCUGCACAGAAAUUCUCUUCUCUCAACUUCAUGCAGCUAAUAGACUCAGCAACUGCACGCACAUACCUUCCAGGGCAGAUGUAGUAGGCCAGAUACUUAUCAUGCAAGAUGACUACCCCCACUACCCGGAAUAUCAAACGAAGCUGAUAAUUGGUUUGCGUAUAAACGGAUGGAUGAUGGUGAAGCUAACGCUAUGGGGAAACGAAGCAUCUCUUUUCCGGCAACUACAAGCCAUGAGCCAUCGGAAGUACAAAGUUGUUUUAGUAACAAGCAUUAUACCAAGUAUAUGUAAAGGGAAACUCUUGCUAGCUUCAUCAUCCGCAACUCAGUUUUUCUUUGAUGAAAAUAUCAAGCACAUCAGUGGCUUCAGAAGCAAAAUAAGCAUUGGUGGGGAAUAGCUAAUGACGUCGAUCCAGAGAUUUGAACGUGUUCUACGCAUUGAGUGUAGAACGUCCAGGAAUAUACUCUGCUCCUGAAUGCUUUCGUGCUGUUCAAUUGUUGGCCGUAUUUAGACAUUCGCUAAUGCUUCCCAUUCAGUGUUUUUUUUUAAAUCUUUCAAUCAAUUUUAUAUUUAUUACACCUUUAUAAAGGAUACAUUUCUAAUAUAAGCUACGAUAGCAAUCGA